AGAGUUUGAUCAUGGCUCAGGAUGAACGCUAGCUACAGGCUUAACGCAUGCAAGUCGAGGGGAAACGAUAUUGGAAGCUUGCUUCCGAUAGGCGUCGACCGGCGCACGGGUGAGUAACGCGUAUCCAACCUGCCCACCACUUGGGGAUAACCUUGCGAAAGUAAGACUAAUACCCAAUGACGUCUCUAGAAGACAUCUGAAGGAGAUUAAAGAUUUAUCGGUGAUGGAUGGGGAUGCGUCUGAUUAGCUUGUUGGCGGGGUAACGGCCCACCAAGGCAACGAUCAGUAGGGGUUCUGAGAGGAAGGUCCCCCACAUUGGAACUGAGACACGGUCCAAACUCCUACGGGAGGCAGCAGUGAGGAAUAUUGGUCAAUGGGCGAGAGCCUGGACCAGCCAAGUAGCGUGCAGGAAGACGGCCCUAUGGGUUGUAAACUGCUUUUAUAAGGGAAUAAAGUUAGUCUCGUGAGACUUUUUGCAUGUACCUUAUGAAUAAGGACCGGCUAAUUCCGUGCCAGCAGCCGCGGUAAUACGGAAGGUCCGGGCGUUAUCCGGAUUUAUUGGGUUUAAAGGGAGCGUAGGCCGGAGAUUAAGCGUGUUGUGAAAUGUAGACGCUCAACGUCUGCACUGCAGCGCGAACUGGUUUCCUUGAGUACGCACAAAGUGGGCGGAAUUCGUGGUGUAGCGGUGAAAUGCUUAGAUAUCACGAAGAACUCCGAUUGCGAAGGCAGCUCACUGGAGCGCAACUGACGCUGAAGCUCGAAAGUGCGGGUAUCGAACAGGAUUAGAUACCCUGGUAGUCCGCACGGUAAACGAUGGAUGCCCGCUGUUGGUCUGAACAGGUCAGCGGCCAAGCGAAAGCAUUAAGCAUCCCACCUGGGGAGUACGCCGGCAACGGUGAAACUCAAAGGAAUUGACGGGGGCCCGCACAAGCAGUGGAGUAUGUGGUUUAAUUCGAAGCAACGCGAAGAACCUUACCAGGUCUUGACAUCGAGUGCAUAACUAAGAGAUUAGUGAAAUCCCUUCGGGGACACUUAGACAGGUGGUGCAUGGUUGUCGUCAGCUCGUGUCGUGAGAUGUUGGGUUAAGUCCCGCAACGAGCGCAACCCUUACCUUUAGUUGCUACGCAAGAGCACUCUAAAGGGACUGCCGUUGACAAAACGGAGGAAGGUGGGGAUGACGUCAAAUCAUCAUGCCCCUUAUGACCUGGGCUACACACGUACUACAAUGGCAAUCAACAAAGAGAAGCAAGACAGUGAUGUGGAGCAAAUCUCAAAAAAUUGUCCCAGUUCAGAUUGUAGGCUGCAACUCGCCUACAUGAAGUCGGAAUUGCUAGUAAUCGCGGAUCAGAAUGCCGCGGUGAAUACGUUCCCGGGCCUUGUACACACCGCCCGUCACACCAUGGGAGUCGGUAACACCCGAAGUCGGUAGUCUAACAGCAAUGAGGACGCCGCCGAAGGUGGGAUUGAUGACUGGGGUGAAGUCGUAACAAGGUA
rnacentral:rRNA from 1 species